UAUAUACUCCCUCCAUCCCGAAUUACUUGUCUCAUAAAAGGAUGUAUCUAGACGUAUUUUUAGUUCAAUAUACAUCAAUUUCUAUCCAUUUCUGUGAUGAGUAAUUCGGGACGGAGGGAGUAUUUU
rfam:Triticum aestivum genome assembly, contig: Triticum_aestivum_CS42_TGACv1_scaffold_160561_2DL